UUUCAUUUUCCUGCAGAGCUCAUCAGGAAAGGCUGCUCUGACAUGGAACCAGUAAGCUCUUCCCUCUACCUGCCGGGUGAUUCACACGGGCUCUGAACCAACGUAAGUCCUGUGCUCACUCAUGAACAGGAGGGUUAGAACUCUACCCGCUCAGGGACCACUUACUGUGGUCUCCUGUAUCUGAUCUUUCUAAGGAAGGGAGAGGGGGCAGAAGCCCAAUUCUUUCAUUUUCUCACUGUGGAGACCUGAAAAGUGACCCUUCCCAAGAUAUUUUUACUUCCUAAUCUUCAGAACCUGUGAUAAAUAUCUUACAUGAAGAAGGAAAGACCUGUGUGGGCACAGCAGGGAGGCAGCCCUCUGCAAGCCAGGAGGCAGCCCUCUCCAGGAACCAGCCCUGCCCACGCCUUCAUCUCAGACUCCAUCCUCCAGAACUGUGAGAAAACAAUUUCUGUUGUUAAGUAGCCGGGACGACAGGCAUGUGCCUCCACACCCAGCUAAUUUUUGUAAUUUUGUAGAGACAGGGUUUCACCAUGUUGCCCAGGCUGGUUUCGAACUCCUGGACUCAAGCAAUUCACCCACUUCUGCCUCCCAAAGUACUGGGAUUACAGGUGUGAGCCACUUUGCCCAGCCUCCAGAACCUUUUUAUUUUCCCAAAUGGAAACUCUGUCCCCAUUAAACGCUCACUCCCCUUCCUUCUCCCUAGCUCCUUGCAGCCCUCACCCUCCUUUUUGUCUCUGUGGUUUGACUCCACUAGGGAACCUCAGAUCAGUGGGUCCCACGAUUAUUGUUUAUGCUGCUUGUAUCUUUAGACAUAAUUGAGUUUUGAAAUAAAAAAAGAAAAUCAAAAAUAAAACAUCAAAUUUUAAAUCAAGAAUUCAAGCUGUCUUUAUUUAUUUUACAAACAAUAACAUGGCCACGUGAAUUCACGAUUCUAAUGAAGUGUGACCUAGUCCUGCCACCCUGAAUUCAUCAGAGAUCAGGGGCGUGGCCUCGGGAACCUCAGGUCUCAGGGAAUCCACCAGGCCUUUCCCACACAACCAAAGCGAGAAGCACAAGCACAUCUCAGCGUCUCUGCAAGUUUGUCGUCUUUCCUUGACUUCAACC
rnacentral:lncRNA from 10 species